UCCCUUCUAUUAUUAAUCAAUAUUGAGUUUGGAGAGUAAAAGCUUAUUGCUUAAAAACCAAAGAAUAUGGCGGUAUCUUAUUCUAUCAGGGGAACCUGUACCUUAAUUUGAUAGCCCACGGGUGUUAAUCCUAAAUUUGAAAACUCAGCUUGUGUACUGCCGAAUUAUAGACUUUAAAAAUUUGUCUAUAAAAAAAUUUAUUGAUAGAAAAUCAGGUCAAAGUGCAGCUUAUGUUUAGGUGGAAUUGGGUUACAUUUAUUUUUAAGAUUCGAAUAAUUAUAUGUGAUAAUAUAUUUAUAAGAAGAAUUUGAUAGUAAUUAAAUAACAUAUAUUUAAUGAAUUAGAAUCUAAGAUAUGCACACAUCGCC
rnacentral:rRNA from 1 species